rnacentral:rRNA from 1 species
AUACGGAGGGGACUAGCGUUGUCCGGAAUUACUGGGCGUAAAGAGUUCGUAGGCGGACUGAUAAGUAAGAGGUGAAAUCUCAGGGCUCAACCCUGGAACUGCCUUUUAAACUGUCAGUCUAGAGACCGUAAGAGGUUAGGGGAAUACCUAGUGUAGAGGUGAAAUUCGUAGAUAUUAGGUGGAACACCAGUGGCGAAGGCGCCUAACUGGUCCGGUACUGACGCUGAGGAACGAAAGCGUAGGGAGCAAACAGAAUUAGAAACCCUAGUAGUCC